GACGAACGCUGGCGGCGUGCUUAACACAUGCAAGUCGAACGGUGAAGCGCCUUCCUUUUUGGUGGGUGUGGAUGAGUGGCGAACGGGUGAGUAACACGUGAGUAACCUGCCCCCUUCUUCUGGAUAACCGCAUGAAGGUGUGGCUAAUACGGGAUAUUCUGGGUCUGUCGCAUGAUGGGUCUGGGAAAGAUAUUGUUUCGGUGGGGGAUGGGCUCGCGGCCUAUCAGCUUGUUGGUGGGGUGAUGGCCUACCAAGGCGGUGACGGGUAGCCGGCCUGAGAGGGUGGACGGUCACACUGGGACUGAGACACGGCCCAGACUCCUACGGGAGGCAGCAGUGGGGAAUAUGGCACAAUGGGCGAAAGCCUGAUGCAGCGACGCCGCGUGAGGGAUGGAGGCCUUCGGGUUGUGAACCUCUUUCGCCAGUGAAGCAGGCCUGCCUCGUUUGUGGGUGGGUCGACGGUAGCUGGAUAAGAAGCGCCGGCUAACUACGUG
rnacentral:rRNA from 1 species